UUGGUUGUCUCUUUUCUCUCUACAAUCUAACAUUUCUGGAAACUUCACACAAAUACAUUCCUCGAUCUAUAACCCCUCUCCUUCAAUUGAUCUGUCUCGAAGUCAUUUUUUUCGCCAUUUCCUUUCAUAACCGAUUACCUCUGAGCUUCUAUCUAAUCGACUCACAACUCGUGACCGAUCGGUUGAACAUUUGAUACAACUGAUCUGUAAGAAAUCAAAUAACAGUCCUUGCUACACACCUUCUCGCUUUCCUCUUCCCAUUGUUUCCUUUUUUUCUCCGGCAAUGUCGAAGCGUUUUGUUUCCAGAUGAUUCUUCAUCUGCAUGCGUCAAUUUCUUUUUUUCACAUCCUCUUUGGCGUCGUUUUUUCACUUGAAGAAACUGACAAACAAAUCAGAGAAAGAGCAUGUGGGAGCGAGCAAGUGAAGCGCUUGAAGGAGGCUCGCAGUGUCUAUGGAGAAGAAGUAAUGGAGGGUGUCAGACAUUGAUAUUGGUACCUCAUUUUCCUGUUUUCUCAGUGGAAGCAAAAGAGUAAUGUAUGCAGCUUGCAUGUGGGUCGUACAACUGUUUUUGAUUCUUAGCGAAGUUGAUUCGAUUUUCGUCUAUGUUCCUAAAUAUUAUUUGGAAACACUGGUUGAUUGCUUUCAUGUGCUUCGGAAGAGUGAUCCUCUUUUUGCCCAUCCUACAAUUUUCAUCAAGCAAGGACUUGAAUCAUUUUCACAACAUAGUUCCGCACACAUUGCCUUCGCGGUCUGCUGACUGCUGAGGAGGAAGCUGCGCACCAACAAUGAAUUCUCCAUUCUUUGCAGAAGCUUGUAUUUUUUUUUCGCUUUAUGUUUGCAGAGGGUGAAGUCUCUGAAUAUGUAUGUAUAUAUAAACAUGGAACUGAUGUACUGGGACUCUAAUAAUCAUAGCCAUGUAGUGGGACUCUGACAACAAUAGGUUACUCCCAUACCCAGUUGCUUAGAAGCACACGCUUCCUAUCAAGAAGCAAGUUUGGAUACUAACUCCUCAGCCAGAUAAUAGCCCACUCCCCUACACGUCUACCCUGAAAUGAUAUGUUUUUGAUUCGGCACGUCAGCUUCUCUUCAUUAACCUUUAAAAUGUU